GCAUCGGUGGUUCAGUGGUAGUAUUUUUGCCUUCUACGCAGGAGACCCAGGUUUGAUUGCUGGCCAAUGCA
rnacentral:tRNA from 1 species